UGGGGAAUAUUGCACAAUGGGCGCAAGCCUGAUGCAGCCAUGCCGCGUGUGUGAAGAAGGCCUUCGGGUUGUAAAGCACUUUCAGUCAGGAGGAAAGGUUAGUAGUUAAUACCUGCUAGCUGUGACGUUACUGACAGAAGAAGCACCGGCUAACUCCGUGCCAGCAGCCGCGGUAAUACGGAGGGUGCGAGCGUUAAUCGGAAUUACUGGGCGUAAAGCGUACGCAGGCGGUUUGUUAAGCGAGAUGUGAAAGCCCCGGGCUCAACCUGGGAACUGCAUUUCGAACUGGCAAACUAGAGUGUGAUAGAGGGUGGUAGAAUUUCAGGUGUAGCGGUGAAAUGCGUAGAGAUCUGAAGGAAUACCGAUGGCGAAGGCAGCCACCUGGGUCAACACUGACGCUCAUGUACGAAAGCGUGGGGAGCAAACAGGAUUAGAUACCCUGGUAGUCCACGCCGUAAACGAUGUCUACUAGAAGCUCGGAGCCUCGGCUCUGUUUUUCAAAGCUAACGCAUUAAGUAGACCGCCUGGGGAGUACCGCCGCAAGGGUA
rnacentral:rRNA from 1 species